rnacentral:rRNA from 1 species
ACUCGAGUGGCGAACGGGUGAGUAACACGUGGGUGAUCUGCCCUGCACUUCGGGAUAAGCCUGGGAAACUGGGUCUAAUACCGGAUAGGACCAUGCUUUAGUGUGUGUGGUGGAAAGUUUUUCGGUGUAGGAUGAGCCCGCGGCCUAUCAGCUUGUUGGUGGGGUAAUGGCCUACCAAGGCGGCGACGGGUAGCCGGACUGAGAGGUUGGUCGGCCACAUUGGGACUGAGAUACGGCCCAG